GACGAACGCUGGCGGCGUGCCUAAUACAUGCAAGUCGAGCGAACAGACGAGGAGCUUGCUCCUCUGACGUUAGCGGCGGACGGGUGUGUAACACGUGGAUAAUCUACCUAUAAGACUGGUAUAACUUCGGGAAACCGGAGCUAAUACCGGAUAAGAUACUGCACCGUAUGGUUCAAUAGUGAAUGUCGGCUUUGCUGUAUGUUAUAGAUGGAUCUGCGCCGCAUUAGCUAGUUGGUAAGGAAACGGCUUACCACGGCAACGAUGCGUAGCCGACCUGAAAGGGGGGUCGGCCACACUGGAACUGACCCACGGUCAAGACUCCUACGGGAGGCAGCAGUAGGGUAUCGUCCGCAAGGGGGGGAAGCAUGACGGAGCACCGCCACGUGAGUGAUAGAAGUCUUCGGAUCGUAAAGAUCGGUUUGUAGGGAAGAACAAAUGUCAAAGUAGCGAAGCAGUACUUGACGGUACCUAAUAAGAAAGCCCCGGCUAACUACGUG
rnacentral:rRNA from 1 species